GAUGAACGCUGGCGGCGUGCCUAAUACAUGCAAGUCGAACGAAACUUCUUUAUCACCGAGUGCUUGCACUCACCGAUAAAGAGUUGAGUGGCGAACGGGUGAGUAACACGUGGGCAACCUGCCCAAAAGAGGGGGAUAACACUUGGAAACAGGUGCUAAUACCGCAUAACCAUAGUUACCGCAUGGUAACUAUGUAAAAGGUGGCUAUACUACCGCUUUUGGAUGGGCCCGCGGCGCAUUAGCUAGUUGGUAGGGUAAAGGCUUACCAAGGCAAUGAUGCGUAGCCGAAUUGAGAGGUUGAUCGGUCACAUUGGGACUGAGACACGGCCCAAACUCCUACGGGAGGCAGCAGUAGGGAAUCUUCCACAAUGGGCGAAAGCCUGAUGGAGCAACGCCGCGUGGGUGAAGAAGGUCUUCGGAUCGUAAAACCCUGUUGUUAGAGAAGAAAGUGCGUGAGAGUAACUGUUCACGUUUCGACGGUAUCUAACCAGAAAGCCACUGCUAACUACGUG
rnacentral:rRNA from 1 species